GCCACUAUAGCUUAGCGGUUAGAGCCCUGGUCUUGUAAACCAGUGGUCGUGAGUUCAAUUCUCAGUGGUGGCU
rnacentral:tRNA from 1 species